CCGGCGACCGGCGCACGGGUGAGUAACACGUAUGGAACCUGCCCGCAGCAGGGGGAUAAGCGGAAGAAAUUCCGUCUAAUACCGCGUAACAACGUUGGGAGGCAUCUCCCGAUGUUUAAAGAUUUAUCGGCUGCGGAUGGCCAUGCGGCGCAUUAGCUAGUCGGCGGGGUAACGGCCCACCGAGGCGACGAUGCGUAGGGGUUCUGAGAGGAAGGUCCCCUACACUGGUACUGAGACACGGACCAGACUCCUACGGAAGGCAGCAG
rnacentral:rRNA from 1 species